rnacentral:rRNA from 1 species
GACGAACGCUGGCGGCGUGCUUAACACAUGCAAGUCGAACGAGAAUCUGUGGAUCGAGGAUUCGUCCAAGUGAGGCAGAGGACAGUGGCGGACGGGUGAGUAACGCGUGAGGAACCUGCCUUUCAGAGGGGGACAACAGUUGGAAACGACUGCUAAUACCGCAUGAUACAUUUGGGUGGCAUCAUCUGAAUGUCAAAGAUUUAUCGCUGAAAGAUGGCCUCGCGUCUGAUUAGCUGGUUGGUGAGGUAACGGCCCACCAAGGCGACGAUCAGUAGCCGGACUGAGAGGUUGACCGGCCACAUUGGGACUGAGAUACGGCCCAGACUCCUACGGGAGGCAGCAGUGGGGAAUAUUGGGCAAUGGGCGCAAGCCUGACCCAGCAACGCCGCGUGAAGGAAGAAGGCUUUCGGGUUGUAAACUUCUUUUAAGAGGGAAGAGCAGAAGACUGUACCUCUAGAAUAAGCCACGGCUAACUACGUGCCAGCAGCC